rnacentral:rRNA from 1 species
AUUGAACGCUGGCGGCAUGCCUUACACAUGCAAGUCGAACGGUAACGGGCCUUCGGGUGCCGACGAGUGGCGAACGGGUGAGUAAUGUAUCGGAACGUACCUUUCAGUGGGGGAUAACGUAGCGAAAGUUGCGCUAAUACCGCAUAUUCUGUGCGCAGGAAAGCAGGGGACCUUCGGGCCUUGCGCUGAUUAAGCGGCCGAUGUCGGAUUAGCUAGUAGGUGAGGUAAAGGCUCACCUAGGCGACGAUCCGUAGCGGGUCUGAGAGGAUGAUCCGCCACACUGGGACUGAGACACGGCCCAGACUCCUACGGGAGGCAGCAGUGGGGAAUUUUGGACAAUGGGCGCAAGCCUGAUCCAGCCAUGCCGCGUGAGUGAAGAAGGCCUUAGGGUUGUAAAGCUCUUUCGGCCGGGAAGAAAUCGUGUUCUCUAACAUAGGACAUGGAUGACGGUACCGGACUAAGAAGCACCGGCUAACUACGUGCCAGCCGCCGCGGUAACAC